GAUGAAGAACGUAGCGAAAUGCGAUAAGUAAUGUGAAUUGCAGAAUUCAGUGAAUCAUCGAAUCUUUGAACGCACAUUGCGCCCGCCAGUAUUCUGGCGGGCAUGCCUGUUCGGGCGUCAUUUCAACCAUCAAGCCCCCGGCUUGUGUUGGGGACCUGCGGCUGCCGCAGGCCCUGAAAAGCAGUGGCGGGCUCGCUGUCACACCGAGCGUAGUAGCAUACAUCUCGCUCUGGGCGUGCUGCGGGUUCCGGCCGUUAAACCACCUUCAUAACCCAAGGUUGACCUCGGAUCAGGUAGGAAGACCCGCUGAACUUAAGCAUAUCAAUAAGCGGAGGA
rnacentral:misc_RNA from 1 species